rnacentral:rRNA from 1 species
GAGUAACGCGUGAGCAACCUGCCUUUCAGUGGGGGACAACAGUUGGAAACGACUGCUAAUACCGCAUAAUGCAUUUUGACCGCAUGAUCGAGAUGCCAAAGAUUUAUUGCUGAAAGAUGGGCUCGCGUCUGAUUAGAUAGUUGGUGGGGUAACGGCCCACCAAGUCGACGAUCAGUAGCCGGACUGAGAGAUUGAACGGCCACAUUGGGACUGAGAUACGGCCCAGACUCCUACGGGAGGCAGCAGUGGGGAAUAUUGGGCAAUGGGGGAAACCCUGACCCAGCAACGCCGCGUGAAGGAAGAAGGCUUUCGGGUUGUAAACUUCUUUUACCAGGGACGAAGAAAGUGACGGUACCUGGAGAAAAAGCCACGGCUAACUACGUGCCAGCAGCCGCGGUAAUACGUAGGUGGCAAGCGUUGUCCGGAUUUACUGGGUGUAAAGGGCGUGUAGGCGGAGAUGCAAGUCAGAUGUGAAAUCCUCGGGCUUAACCCGGGAACUGCAUUUGAAACUGUAUCCCUUGAGUAUCGGAGAGGCAGGCGGGAUUCCUAGUGUAGCGGUGAAAUGCGUAGAUAUUAGGAGGAACACCAGUGGCGAAGGCGGCUUACUGGACUGUAACUGACGUUGAGGCUCGAA